rnacentral:rRNA from 1 species
GACGAACGCUGGCGGCGUGCUUAACACAUGCAAGUCGAACGGAAAGGCCCUGCUUUUGUGGGGUGCUCGAGUGGCGAACGGGUGAGUAACACGUGAGUAACCUGCCCUUGACUUUGGGAUAACUUCAGGAAACUGGGGCUAAUACCGGAUAGGAGCUCCUGCUGCAUGGUGGGGGUUGGAAAGUUUCGGCGGUUGGGGAUGGACUCGCGGCUUAUCAGCUUGUUGGUGGGGUAGUGGCUUACCAAGGCUUUGACGGGUAGCCGGCCUGAGAGGGUGACCGGCCACAUUGGGACUGAGAUACGGCCCAGACUCCUACGGGAGGCAGCAGUGGGGAAUAUUGCACAAUGGGCGGAAGCCUGAUGCAGCAACGCCGCGUGCGGGAUGACGGCCUUCGGGUUGUAAACCGCUUUCGCCUGUGACGAAGCGUGAGUGACGGUAAUGGGUAAAGAAGCACCGGCUAACUACGUGCCAGCAGCCGCGGUGAUACGUAGGGUGCGAGCGUUGUCCGGAUUUAUUGGGCGUAAAGGGCUCGUAGGUGGUUGAUCGCGUCGGAAGUGUAGUCUUGGGGCUUAACCCUGAGCGUGCUUUCGAUACGGGUUGACUUGAGGAAGGUAGGGGAGAAUGGAAUUCCUGGUGGAGCGGUGGAAUGCGCAGAUAUCAGGAGGAACACCAGUGGCGAAGGCGGUUCUCUGGGCCUUUCCUGACGCUGAGGAGCGAAAGCGUGGGGAGCGAACAGGCUUAGAUACCCUGGUAGUCCACGCUGUAAACGGUGGGUACUAGGUGUGGGGUCCAUUCCACGGGUUCCGUGCCGUAGCUAACGCUUUAAGUACCCCGCCUGGGGAGUACGGCCGCAAGGCUAAAACUCAAAGGAAUUGACGGGGCCCCGCACAAGCGGCGGAGCAUGCGGAUUAAUUCGAUGCAACGCGUAGAACCUUACCUGGGUUUGACAUGGAUCGGGAGCGCUCAGAGAUGGGUGUGCCUCUUUUGGGGUCGGUUCACAGGUGGUGCAUGGCUGUCGUCAGCUCGUGUCGUGAGAUGUUGGGUUAAGUCCCGCAACGAGCGCAACCCUUGUUCACUGUUGCCAGCACGUUAUGGUGGGGACUCAGUGGAGACCGCCGGGGUCAACUCGGAGGAAGGUGGGGAUGACGUCAAGUCAUCAUGCCCCUUAUGUCCAGGGCUUCACGCAUGCUACAAUGGCUGGUACAGAGAGUGGCGAGCCUGUGAGGGUGAGCGAAUCUCGGAAAGCCGGUCUCAGUUCGGAUUGGGGUCUGCAACUCGACCUCAUGAAGUCGGAGUCGCUAGUAAUCGCAGAUCAGCAACGCUGCGGUGAAUACGUUCCCGGG